UAGAACAUGCUCAACCACAAUGUUUGCAUGUGUUUUGAUCAUAGCACCCAUGAUGCAGAUUCUGAAAGUUUCAUUUACACACAUUCAAGUAUUAACAAAUAAAUUUAUAUGUCAAAGGGGGUGACAGAUUGGAGUAUAGGUUCUCAAUGGUCUGGAUUCUUCUGACCAGUCAUUGUUAGGGAGAGAAGGGGUGCAAGGUUGUGUGGGCGACUCCACAAUUGUACUUAAAAGAAGGUCUGUUAAAAGGUUAAAAGAAAAGAGGAAAUUAAGAUCGAACUAAGGAAAAAACAGGCGAGAAAGAGGGAGAGGAAGUUGAGAGACCCGGUCAGAGAAAAGAUAACCACAAGGUACUACCACAAGAAACAGGAAAAGGUAUUAUAAAUCUUAAGCUGCUAACUUUUGCUUUCUAACCAAACCAUUCUGACAAAAUGCUUAAUGUGUACUGACUGAAUUCAGAGAUGUCUCUUGCUUCUGCUCAUUGAAGACUGCCUAAAAUUCUGUUUGGGUGAGAAUAAAUACUGUUAGCUUUUAAAUCGUUGUCUGUGUGCUUUCAUGAAUCUUGGGGGAGCAAAACAAGCCAACCUUUAGCAAGGAACCUGGAUUGCUCUUUCGGGAGCCUUUGAGUUCCUCAUUCCUCAUUUGAUGAAGGGAGAGCUCGAGGGUAUCUCAGAUUUCUUACAAAGGGCACAAUGGUGCCUCCUCGUAACAAGAGGGUUUGUUGUUGGACUCUUGUUCCCUAUUGGCCUUUGUAAUUUCUCCACUGCGACCUAGGUUGCUUAUAUUGGUGCUGAGCUGCUUAUGCUGUUGCUGAACUGGAUUACCUAAUAAAAGUCAUUUGAAGUGUAUUAGACUGCAAUCAGGUGUCUGGAGUCUAUGUCUCUCUUCAAGAUAUCUGAGGUGGGGAGAUCCCGCCAUUCCCCAGCACUUCCCCUGUGAAAGUACAAGAAUGGGACAACUCACUACAGCCAAUUCACCGCUGGUCAAUUGGACAUGGCCAACUUGCUGCAGGGACAACUCGCUGCAGGGAACAACGCAAUUCAUGAGGCACGACCCCACAGAAGAACUGCCAAACAAAAACACCAACUAUAUGCUGUGGCUUCCUCUCUCCUCCCACAUUCUGGAGCCUUGUGGCCAGAGUUCCACAGAAUAAUGAUUAGAUAAACAUCAGCAUCUUCUCCUAUAUACUGUAUGGGAUGAUCAACAUGAAGUGAUCGCCAGCAGAAUGUGAGAACAACAGAGACCACUAAUCAAGAAGAACUAUAUAAGUCCUGGCAGACUUUUAGGAGACUUUGGAUACAACUCAAACACCAUCCUUCUCAGAGCUGCUGGAGCAGCAGAGCAUGCCUGCCUGGGACUUUAGCUCCUUCCUUAAGACUUGUAAUCUUGGUAUGAGCCAGAGCGGACCCAUUUUGUAAAAGCCUCUAUUUGUAAUUCCUUGCAGAGUGGAAAACUACUAGCUCAGGGUCUUGAGACAAGUCAGGAGGGUACUUGGAAGAUAUGUUGAUUUGUAACUGAGAGGUAAGGGAAGAUAAAGACAAGAUUGUAUAUGUAAAGUGUGAAGAUAAGGGAAGACAAAGACAAGAUCACAUAUGCAAAGUGUGAAGUAAGACUGCAUAUGUGGGGUUUUGCAGGCCUAAGGAGGGGAGCGGGCAUCAUGACAAUACAAAAUUUAGGAUAUAAAACUUCUGUGUAACAAAAGGGCUUUGCUCUUGAUUUUGGUGUGACCCCAAAAGCCUUAUUUCUGCAGAAAUAAACUUUGAAGCUUU